rnacentral:rRNA from 1 species
GACGAACCGUGCGAACGUUGUUCGGAAUCACUGGGCUUAAAGGGCGCGUAGGCGGCUCGACAAGUCGGGGGUGAAAUCUUUCGGCUCAACCGGAAAAGGGCCUCCGAUACUGUCGAGCUCGAGGGAGGUAGGGGCGGACGGAACUUCCGGUGGAGCGGUGAAAUGCGUUGAUAUCGGAAGGAACGCCGGUGGCGAAAGCGGUCCGCUGGCCCUCUACUGACGCUGAGGCGCGAAAGCCAGGGGAGCAAACGGGAUUAGAUACCCCGGUAGUCCUGGCCCUAAACGAUGGGUACUAGGCUGUGGGCUUGACAUGGGCUCACAGCCGAAGCAAAAGUGUUAAGUACCCCGCCUGGGGAGUAUGGUCGCAAGGCUGAA